rnacentral:lncRNA from 1 species
CCUUGACCUCUGGUUAAGGGUGGAGCAGCCGCAUCCACUACACCACAACCCAUGUUGGUAAGUUCCUUCUCUUUUUUGUGUGUUAUAUUUUUUUCUUUUAGUUGCUUAAUUUUAUUUUAUUUUUUGUUUUUGCGCAUGCAUGAAUCAUAAGUUGGGGUUUACAACACAACUACACACGAAUUGCAUUUCAACUAAACAUAAUUUUACAUUUUUUGACACUAAUAACUUUAAAAAUUAUCUCAUUUAAAAUUUAAAAUCAAUCUAAUUAACAUUGUUUCAAAAUAGCAAACAAGUUAUAUAUAAAGGCAUAGAGCCUGAAUUGCAUAUAAAUAAUAAACUAUGCAUGUUAAAUAAUAUAUGAAGCCAUUGAAAUAACUUCAUUUAUGCUUUGAUUCACAACGAAACUUUUAAAAAUAAAUAGUACGAAAUUGGAUAAGAACUUAUAUGAUAAACUAACUAAAAGAUAAGAACGAACGAUGUCACCAAAAAGUCGAACAAGAUCCGAACUCAACUCGCCCCUUCUUUUCCUUUAUCUUUUUGUUGCUUUCUCUUUUCUCUCUCUCUCUCUAAGUUUUUUUAAAUCUUUUUUCUCAUGUUUUCUCUAACACUUUAUUUGGAUGGUGGUUUGUCAUGAUUUCAUAAUGUACGGUAUUGUACGAUAUGGUAUUGUACUGUACAAUAUAGUACAAUACAAUGUUUCAAUGGACUGUAUCGUUCACGACGGUUUAAUAACAAUUUUGUUGUUUGGUUUGACGAUAUGGUACUGUAUUGUAGCUGGAAAGUUUAUUAAAGUGCUCUGAAUUAUUAUAAAUGCUAAAUUUAUCAAUAAUUGUUAGUAAAAUAAUUUUGUUCCUACUAAUCUGUCACAAAUUAUGUCAUGUAAAUAUAUUAGUUGUUAAAUUCAUGUAAAUUUUAACAAGAUCAAUAUAAGAGUAGAUUAAAAUAUAUGUAGUCAGAUCAUUUUUAUGUAGUAACAAGUUUCAUUUUCUUUUGGUGUUUUGAAACGUGACACCAACGAUAAGUACAAAGUUUGAAUGCAUCUUGUGUAUUCUACGGGUGUGUUCGGUAUGGAAUACAAAAAAAAAUUACGAAAAUAAAUUGUUUCUUCCUUAUUAUCUUGUGUUCAUUACGACAAAAAAAAAAAUUUCAAAAAAUAUUUGCAUAUAUUUAACACAAAACAAUGAGAACGAUAGGAUAAAGGGAUGUGGUAAGACAAAAAUAUGAAUUUUUUAUAUAAAAAAAUAUUUUGGGGGGUGAGGUAGUGGAGUGGGGGAUCGAAGGUAGGGGUAGGGGUGAGGUAAGAAAAAGUUUUGAUUUUUUAAAAAGAUAAAUUUAAAAAUAUUUUGUUUUGUAGGUGGGGUUCAUUGGGAGGAGGGGCUAGUAAGAGGUGGUGGUGGGGUAAGAAAUCUUUUAAAAAAUUUUAAAAAUAUAAAAAAAAUAGGUUUAGGAGAGGGGCUGAUAAGUGGAGGGGUAGGAUUAAGGGUGGAGUAAGAAAAAGUUUUGUAAUUUUUUUAAAAAAUAAAAUUUUAAAACAAAAUUGGCGUGGUCGGGGUAGGGAUGGGGUCAGGGUAGGGGUGGGACAAGAAAAAAGUUUAAAAUUUUCUAAAAAAAAAUUAAAAAUAAUUAUUUUUUAGGCUGGGGGAGAAGCGGUGGCUCGUGGGGUGGGGAGAGAGGUAGGAUGUAGAGUUAAAUAAUAUAAGGUAAAUGGUAAAAUAAGAUUAUAUAAUAUUAAAUAAGAGCAUAACUGAAAGAAAAAUAAGAAAACUAUGAGUACCACCAAAUUGGUGGUUACAUAACGUGAGGUUUUCAUGGUUAUCAAAACAUGAAAUUAAACCAUAUCAUACCAUAUAUUUUAGAAACAAUCAAAAUAAACAUAAUUCUUUGAAUAACCAUACCAUGAAAAACCACCAUCCAAACAAACAGUGUGUAACUUUUUUCUUUUCCUUAUUUUCUCUUCUGCAUUUCCCUUGUUGUUUCUCUCUCUCCUUUUUCUCACGUAAGUAUUGUAUAUUUUGUGUUAACAUCGGAGUGUUGAGGGGGAGUUGUGAGGGAGUUGGAGUAUGGAGAGGUUGAAAUGAACUAAUAAAUAAGCUAGUAAUCCCUCUGCACUCCAGCUCCCUCACAGCUCUCCCUCAACAUUACUAUAUUAACAGAGAAUAUACAACACUUACAUGAGAAAAAGGAGAGAUAAAAACAAUAAAGAACACUACUAGAAAUUCGUAUAUUUUUGACUGAAAAAAUUAAUCGCAAAAUUUUCGACUACUUCAGUCGGAAAACUUAAUUUUUUAUUUUUAUCUUUUAUAAAAUAUUUUCCAACACUAUUUGUGACAAAAAUCAGAAUAUUUGACGGUAAAUUUCGGAAAAUAUGUAUUCCGAUUACUAUAGUCGGUCAAGGCAUAUAAAAUUGUCGAUAUUAUUAUGACCAAAUAUUUCGACCAUUUCAAUUGGUAUAAUUCCAAUAGAUGUAGUCGGAAACUUUAUAAAUAAAUAAUUAAAUAUAUUAUUAAAUAUAUGAAAAGUAAAUAAUUAAAUAUAUAUAUAUAGAUAGAGAGAGACCCAAUUAAAUAUAUUUUCGAUCACGAUAGUCGGAAACAUAAAUAAAUAAAUAAACAUAUUUCUACAUAUAUUUAAUACUAUAUAUAUAUAUAAUCAGACCCAAUUAAAUAUAUUUUCGAUCAUAGUAGUCGAAAAAAUAAAUAAAUAUAUUACUAAAUAUAUUAUCAUACCCUAAUACAGAAAAUAAAUAAUUAAUUAAAUAUAUUAUUAACUAUAUAUAUUUGACUACUUUAGUCGGAAGCACUAAUAAUUAAAUAAAUACCUGACUAAAUAUAUAAUCAUACCCUUAUACAAAAAAUUAAUAAUUAAUUAAAUAUAUAUCCAAUUACUAUAGUAAAAAAAGUAAAUAAUUAAAGAGAUAUAUUACUGUAUAUAUAUAAUCAGACCCUUAUACAUAAAAUAAAUAAUUAUUUAAAUAUAUUAUUAAAUAUUUUUCCAACUAGUGCCGUCGGAAAGUUUAAUAAACUUUACUACAUUGUUGUUUAAGGAAAUCAUUUUAAUACACCAAGUUUAAUACAUUACAAAAACCAUUUCUCUCUCUAAACGUCUUUACUAAAGUCUCUAAACCCUUCUUCGACUCUGUUGACGGUAGUGACGAUGUUGCCGACGGCGGUGGCGCUGCUCUUUCUUGAUGGUGACGGCGAUGGUGAGUCGGUGUUUUGUUUCGAUUUUUAACUUGCGGUUUGACUUAGGUUUAUAGGUUUAGUUAUGAUAUAGGACUGUUUAAUUUUUUUUUGGCGUUUUUUGUGCUUGCUGAAAGUUAAUUUGGCCAGUUUUUCAAAGUAUACUGAAGAGAUUUUCACAAAUUGUAUUUUUAAACCCUAACAAUGAUAAUGGUGCUACUGGGGAUCUGAAGAAUCAACUGCAGUUUGGUUCUUCUAUGAAGCUGGAGAUUGCUGAGGAAUUUGGGAAUGAAAAUAGAUAUGAGAAUGGUGGAGUUACAUAUGGUGUAGGUGUACAAAUGCAAAUUAAAUUAGAGGGAAUUUGAAUAAUGGUAAUGGUGGCUCUAACCUCAUUAGACAAAGCAGUUCACCAGCUGAAUUCUUUAAUGGUAUGCAGAUUUUGCUCUUUAAUAACUUUUGUUUGUUAAGUUUAUGAAAAGAAUUUAGCUUAAUCUUGAUGUGUAAGAGCUUAAUUGAGUGUUUAAUUUAGAUUAUGUGACUUUUAUACUUGGGGAAGUUCACUUCUAGUUAUUUUUUUAGGAUUGUGAAGGAUUUUUUUUUGUCUUUGUUGAUUUGAUCUCAAUCAUUUAGGUAAAAGAAGAGGAAACGUUUGGUCUAUGUUGUUUGGACUCUUCAAAAAUGUUGGUGGGUGCGUGUCAGAUUCUUCAAAAAGUAGUGUAUUUUUUGAGAAUCUAAUUCAGGUGUGGCAUCGAAAGUGAAGAUUCCGGGAAACUUAGCUUUUGGUCGAUUUGGGAAUAAAUCUGAGAUUCAAGCUUUUUGUUAUUCUUUUGGAUUAGAAAUGUACUGAAUGAUGGAUUUUCUUGCUACUUUGAUAUAGUUUUUGAUGUAGUAGUAAUCAAGAAUGNNNNN